CCUACGGGUGGCAGCAGUGAGGAAUAUUGGUCAAUGGACGAGAGUCUGAACCAGCCAAGUAGCGUGAAGGAUGACGGCCCGAUGGGUUGUAAACUGCUUUUAUACGGGAAUAAAACAGGGUACGCAUACCCUCUUGUAUGUACCAUAUGAAUAAGGACCGGCUAACUCCGUGCCAGCAGCCGCGGUAAUACGGAGGGUCCGAGCGUUAUCCGGAUUUAUUGGGUUUAAGGGGAGCUUAGGUGGCUUGUUAAGUCAGUUGUGAAAGUUUGCGGCUCAACCGUAAAAUUGCAGCUGAAACUGGCAGUCUUGAGUACAGUAGAGGUAGGCGGAAUUCGUGGUGUAGCGGUGAAAUGCUUAGAUAUCACGAAGAACUCCGAUUGCGAAGGCAGCUCACUGGACUGCAACUGACACUGAUGCUCGAAAGUGUGGGUAUCAAACAGGAUUAGAUACCCCUGUAGUC
rnacentral:rRNA from 1 species